rnacentral:rRNA from 1 species
CCUACGGGAGGCAGCAGUAAGGAAUAUUGGUCAAUGGAGGGAACUCUGAACCAGCCAUGCCGCGUGCAGGAAGACGGCCCUAUGGGUUGUAAACUGCUUUUGUACGGGAAUAAACCUAUCUACGUGUAGAUAGCUGAAUGUACCGUAAGAAUAAGGAUCGGCUAACUCCGUGCCAGCAGCCGCGGUAAUACGGAGGAUCCAAGCGUUAUCCGGAUUUAUUGGGUUUAAAGGGAGCGUAGGCGGCCAUUUAAGUCAGAGGUGAAAACUUGCAGCUCAACUGUAAGCUUGCCUUUGAUACUGAGUGGCUUGAAUAAACUUGAGGUAGGCGGAAUGUGACAAGUAGCGGUGAAAUGCAUAGAUAUGUCACAGAACACCAAUUGCGAAGGCAGCUUACUAAGGUUUAAUUGACGCUGAGGCUCGAAAGCGUGGGGAUCAAACAGGAUUAGAUACCCUGGUAGUCCACGCCCUAAACGAUGAUAACUCGAUGUUGGCGAUAUACAGUCAGCGUCCAAGCGAAAGCGUUAAGUUAUCCACCUGGGGAGUACGCCCGCAAGGGUGAAACUCAAAGGAAUUGACGG